GACGAACGCUGGCGGCGUGCUUAACACAUGCCAGUCGAACGGAAAGGCCUUUUCGGCGGUACUCGAGUGGCGGACGGGUGAGUAACACGUGGGUGAUCUGCCCUGCACUCUGGGAUAAGCCUGGGAAACUGGGUCUAAUACCGGAUAGGACCGCACUUUAGUGUGUGUGGUGGAAAGUUUUUUCGGUGUAGGAUGAGCCCGCGGCCUAUCAGCUUGUUGGUGGGGUAAUGGCCUACCAAGGCGGCGACGGGUAGCCGGACUGAGAGGUUGGUCGGCCACAUUGGGACUGAGAUACGGCCCAGACUCCGACGGGAGGCAGCAGUGGGGAAUAUUGCACAAGGGGCGCAAGCCUGAUGCAGCGACGCCGCGUGGGGGAUGACGGCCUUCGGGUUGGAAACUCCGUUCGCCAGGGACGAAGCGUUUUGUGACGGUACCUGGAGAAGAAGCACCGGCUAACUACGUG
rnacentral:rRNA from 1 species